rnacentral:rRNA from 1 species
GAUGAACGCUGGCGGCGUGCCUAAUACAUGCAAGUCGAGCGAACGGACGAGAAGCUUGCUUCUCUGAUGUUAGCGGCGGACGGGUGAGUAACACGUGGAUAACCUACCUAUAAGACUGGGAUAACUUCGGGAAACCGGAGCUAAUACCGGAUAAUAUUUUGAACCGCAUGGUUCAAAAGUGAAAGACGGUCUUGCUGUCACUUAUAGAUGGAUCCGCGCUGCAUUAGCUAGUUGGUAAGGUAACGGCUUACCAAGGCAACGAUGCAUAGACGACCUGAGAGGGUGAUCAGCCACACUGGAACUGAGACAAGGUCCAAACUCCUACGGGAGGCAGCAGUAGGGAAUCUUCCGCAAUGGGCGAAAGCCUGACAGAGCAACGCCGCGUGAGUGAUGAAGGUCUUCGGAUCGUAAAACUCUGUUAUUAGGGAAGAACAUAUGUGUAAGUAACUGUGCACAUCCUGACGGUACCUAAUCAGAAAGCCACGGCUAACUACGUG